CCUACGGGUGGCAGCAGUGAGGAAUAUUGGUCAAUGGACGAGAGUCUGAACCAGCCAAGUAGCAUGAAGGAUGACUGCCCUAUGGGUUGUAAACUUCUUUUAUAUGGGAAUAAAAUGUUCCACGUGUGGGAUUUUGUAUGUACCAUAUGAAUAAGGAUCGGCUAACUCCGUGCCAGCAGCCGCGGUAAUACGGAGGAUCCGAGCGUUAUCCGGAUUUAUUGGGUUUAAAGGGAGCGUAGGUGGAUUGUUAAGUCAGUUGUGAAAGUUUGCGGCUCAACCGUAAAAUUGCAGUUGAAACUGGCAGUCUUGAGUACAGUAGAGGUGGGCGGAAUUCGUGGUGUAGCGGUGAAAUGCUUAGAUAUCACGAAGAACUCCGAUUGUGAAGGCAGUUCACUGGACUGCAACUGACACUGAGGCUCGAAAGUGUGGGUAUCAAACAGGAUUAGAUACCCGGGUAGUC
rnacentral:rRNA from 1 species